rnacentral:rRNA from 1 species
GCAGCCGCCGCGGUAAUACGGAGGGGGCUAGCGUUGUUCGGAAUUACUGGGCGUAAAGCGCACGUAGGCGGCUUGGUAAGUUAGAGGUGAAAGCCUGGAGCUCAACUCCAGAAUUGCCUUUAAGACUGCCGAGCUAGCAGGUGAGAGAGGUAAGUGGAAUUCCGAGUGUAGAGGUGAAAUUCGUAGAUAUUCGGAAGAACACCAGUGGCGAAGGCGGCUUACUGGCUCAUACUGGACGCUGAGGUGCGAAAGCGUGGGGAGCAAACAGGAUUAGAUACCCCCGUAGUCCCUGUCUCUUAUAC